rnacentral:rRNA from 1 species
GGGUUGUGAGGUUAAGCGACCAAGCGUACACGGUGGAUGCCCUGGCAGUCAGAGGCGAUGAAGGACGUGCUAAUCUGCGAUAAGCGCCGGUAAGGUGAUAUGAACCGUUAUAACCGGCGAUUUCCGAAUGGGGAAACCCAGUGUGAUUCGUCACACUAUCAUUAACUGAAUCCAUAGGUUAAUGAGGCGAACCGGGGGAACUGAAACAUCUAAGUACCCCGAGGAAAAGAAAUCAACCGAGAUUCCCCCAGUAGCGGCGAGCGAACGGGGAGGAGCCCAGAGCCUGAAUCAGCAUGUGUGUUAGUGGAAGCGUCUGGAAAGGCGCGCGAUACAGGGUGACAGCCCCGUACACAAAAGCGCAUAUGCUGUGAGCUCGAUGAGUAGGGCGGGACACGUGGUAUCCUGUCUGAAUAUGGGGGGACCAUCCUCCAAGGCUAAAUACUCCUGACUGACCGAUAGUGAACCAGUACCGUGAGGGAAAGGCGAAAAGAACCCCGGCGAGGGGAGUGAAACAGAACCUGAAACCGUGUACGUACAAGCAGUGGGAGCACAGGUUUACCUGUGUGACUGCGUACCUUUUGUAUAAUGGGUCAGCGACUUAUAUUCUGUAGCAAGGUUAACCGCAUAGGGGAGCCGAAGGGAAACCGAGUCUUAAUUGGGCGUUAAGUUGCAGGGUAUAGACCCGAAACCCGGUGAUCUAGCCAUGGGCAGGUUGAAGGUUGGGUAACACUAACUGGAGGACCGAACCGACUAAUGUUGAAAAAUUAGCGGAUGACCUGUGGCUGGGGGUGAAAGGCCAAUCAAACCGGGAGAUAGCUGGUUCUCCCCGAAAGCUAUUUAGGUAGCGCCUCGUGAACUCAUCUCCGGGGGUAGAGCACUGUUUCGGCUAGGGGGCCAUCCCGGCUUACCAACCCGAUGCAAACUGCGAAUACCGGAGAAUGUUAUCACGGGAGACACACGGCGGGUGCUAACGUCCGUCGUGAAGAGGGAAACAACCCAGACCGCCAGCUAAGGUCCCAAAGUCAUGGUUAAGUGGGAAACGAUGUGGGAAGGCCCAGACAGCCAGGAUGUUGGCUUAGAAGCAGCCAUCAUUUAAAGAAAGCGUAAUAGCUCACUGGUCGAGUCGGCCUGCGCGGAAGAUGUAACGGGGCUAAACCAUGCACCGAAGCUGCGGCAGCGAACGUAUCACUUAAAACGAUUCAGAAGCUUACGAUUGACGGAGCGAAGCGACGUCAAAGCGUAUACAAAGUCGAGUCGGUUUAAGGAUACGUUCGUUGGGUAGGGGAGCGUUCUGUAAGCCUGCGAAGGUGGCCUGUGAGGGUUGCUGGAGGUAUCAGAAGUGCGAAUGCUGACAUAAGUAACGAUAAAGCGGGUGAAAAGCCCGCUCGCCGGAAGACCAAGGGUUCCUGUCCAACGUUAAUCGGGGCAGGGUGAGUCGACCCCUAAGGCGAGGCCGAAAGGCGUAGUCGAUGGGAAACGGGUUAAUAUUCCCGUACUUGGUGUUACUGCGAAGGGGGGACGGAGAAGGCUAUGUUGGCCGGGCGACGGUUGUCCCGGUUUAAGCGUGUAGGCUGACUUUCCAGGCAAAUCCGGAGAGUCAAGGCUGAGGCGUGACGACGAGGCACCACGGUGCUGAAGCAACAAAUGCCCUGCUUCCAGGAAAAGCCUCUAAGCAUCAGGUAACAUCAAAUCGUACCCCAAACCGACACAGGUGGUCAGGUAGAGAAUACCAAGGCGCUUGAGAGAACUCGGGUGAAGGAACUAGGCAAAAUGGUGCCGUAACUUCGGGAGAAGGCACGCUGACACGUAGGUGAAGUGAUUUACUCAUGGAGCUGAAGUCAGUCGAAGAUACCAGCUGGCUGCAACUGUUUAUUAAAAACACAGCACUGUGCAAACACGAAAGUGGACGUAUACGGUGUGACGCCUGCCCGGUGCCGGAAGGUUAAUUGAUGGGGUCAGCGCAAGCGAAGCUCCUGAUCGAAGCCCCGGUAAACGGCGGCCGUAACUAUAACGGUCCUAAGGUAGCGAAAUUCCUUGUCGGGUAAGUUCCGACCUGCACGAAUGGCGUAAUGAUGGCCAGGCUGUCUCCACCCGAGACUCAGUGAAAUUGAACUCGCUGUGAAGAUGCAGUGUACCCGCGGCAAGACGGAAAGACCCCGUGAACCUUUACUAUAGCUUGACACUGAACAUUGAGCCUUGAUGUGUAGGAUAGGUGGGAGGCUUUGAAGCGUGGACGCCAGUCUGCGUGGAGCCGGCCUUGAAAUACCACCCUUUAAUGUUUGAUGUUCUAACGUGGACCCGUGAUCCGGGUUGCGGACAGUGUCUGGUGGGUAGUUUGACUGGGGCGGUCUCCUCCUAAAGAGUAACGGAGGAGCACGAAGGUUGGCUAAUCCUGGUCGGACAUCAGGAGGUUAGUGCAAUGGCAUAAGCCAGCUUGACUGCGAGCGUGACGGCGCGAGCAGGUGCGAAAGCAGGUCAUAGUGAUCCGGUGGUUCUGAAUGGAAGGGCCAUCGCUCAACGGAUAAAAGGUACUCCGGGGAUAACAGGCUGAUACCGCCCAAGAGUUCAUAUCGACGGCGGUGUUUGGCACCUCGAUGUCGGCUCAUCACAUCCUGGGGCUGAAGUAGGUCCCAAGGGUAUGGCUGUUCGCCAUUUAAAGUGGUACGCGAGCUGGGUUUAGAACGUCGUGAGACAGUUCGGUCCCUAUCUGCCGUGGGCGCUGGAGAACUGAGGGGGGCUGCUCCUAGUACGAGAGGACCGGAGUGGACGCAUCACUGGUGUUCGGGUUGUCAUGCCAAUGGCACUGCCCGGUAGCUAAAUGCGGAAGAGAUAAGUGCUGAAAGCAUCUAAGCACGAAACUUGCCCCGAGAUGAGUUCUCCCUGAGACUUUGAGUCUCCUGAAGGAACGUUGAAGACGACGACGUUGAUAGGCCGGGUGUGUAAGCGCAGCGAUGCGUUGAGCUAACCGGUACUAAUGAACCGUGAGGCUUAACCUUACAACGCCGAAGCUGUU